AGUGAACGCUGGCGGUAGGCCUAACACAUGCAAGUCGAACGGCAGCACAGUAAGAGCUUGCUCUUACGGGUGGCGAGUGGCGGACGGGUGAGGAAUAUAUCGGAAUCUACUUUUUCGUGGGGGAUAACGUAGGGAAACUUACGCUAAUACCGCAUCCGACCUACGGGUGAAAGCAGGGGAUCUUCGCACCUUGCGCGAUUGAAUGAGCCGAUGUCGGAUUAGCUAGUUGGCGGGGUAAAGGCCCACCAAGGCGACGAUCCGUAGCUGGUCUGAGAGGAUGAUCAGCCACACUAGAACUGAGACACGGUCCAGACUCCUACGGGACGCAGCAGUGGGGAAUAUUGGACAAUGGGCGCAAGCCUGAUCCAGCCAUACCGCGUGGGUGAAGAAGGCCUUCGGGUUGUAAAGCCCUUUUGUUGGGAAAGAAAAGCAGCAGGUUAAUACCCCGCUGUUCUGACGGUACCCAAAGAAUAAGCACCGGCUAACUUCGUG
rnacentral:rRNA from 1 species